AUCUAUGGCCAUACCACCCUGAAUGUGCCCGAUCUUGUCUGAUCUCAGAAGCUAAGCAGGGUUUGGCCUGAUUAGUACUUGGAUGGGAGACCUUUCUAGAAUCACAUUGUAGCAGAUU
ensembl:rRNA 5S_rRNA 5S ribosomal RNA